AAAUUAUUUUCCUUUUCUUUCCCCCAAACUCCGAUCCUGACCUUUCUCCCCUCUCUGCGCUGAACUCCCCUUCUCCCCCUCCCGUGACGCCGAAGCCACCAACGUCGUCUCCUCCUCUCCUCCACGCUGCCGCCGACCCCCCUUCUCAUCUUCUCUCCCGGUUUCUCCUCUUCCCCGAGCCGCUGCUUCUUCUACUCUGCCCUAGAUCGCCGACCACCGUCCUUUGCAUCCCACGACAUCGACUAGUAGAUCUCUCCCUUUUGCUUCAUUGCAACACCGAGAGCGCGAGCCGACGACAAGGUUGUUGAUCUCCUCCCGUGCCUUGUUUCCUCAUCAGAACAGACACGUCGCUUGAUUGUCGUUGCAUCGCCAACCUCCCAUCGUUUCUCUUUGCCGUGAACAACCCACACCGAUGCCCUAACUCCUCUAUUCGCUAUUCCCGUGAGCAACCAGAUGUAAGUAAGGUGAUUUCCAGUAACUUCUUCAUCUGACAGCAACAUAUUUGGAUGAGGAUCAAGAGCAGUGACUUGGAGUUGAGGGCUCUGAUUCGAGUCGAGCGUCUCGAUGACGGAUUGGUUUGAUUCGAUCUUCUAUUUGAGGCGGGU